GGUUGUGUGGCGCAAUCGGUUAGCGCGUCGAGCUAAUAACAGCUGUUCGGCCACAAGCAAGUGUCGUCCAAUACUAAUGUUACUCGAAGGUUGCCGGUUCAAUCCCGGUCAUAACCA
rfam:Dacryopinax sp. DJM-731 SS1 chromosome Tnknown DACRYscaffold_9, whole genome shotgun sequence.